GACUGAUCCCUGAGUUGAGAACAUUUAUGCUAUUAAAAAAACCAUUUUGGUAGGUGUGAGUUGCUUGUCAGAAAUCCGUUCUGAAGCUUGAGUGCAAAGGAAGCAGGGAACUAAUGAUGAAUAAGAAUGGAUAUCUUGAGGAUAACAAUGGAUAUGGCAUCUUCAAAAGCUGUGGCAUUCUGGUCCUAGUGUCCUGCAACUGGAUUUGUUCAAAUGGAUCUUGAUAGCCUGGGGGCCUGACAAAGUUCAUGGGACACCCUGGUGACUGCAAGUUCUCACUCUGAAGAUCUGAUUGUAGGCCUGAACCAAAAUUUCUGUUUUGUUCUCCUGUCUAUUUGCUUCUUAAAUGAUGAAAGUUAUUCUUUAAAUGGUGUUGUCUUUGAGUCUUAUGCACAUCCACUUUAGCAGUGU
rnacentral:lncRNA from 1 species